UACAGAGGGGGCAAGCGUUGUUCGGAAUUACUGGGCGUAAAGGGCGCGUAGGCGGCCUGCUAAGUCGAACGUGAAAUCCCUGGGCUCAACCCAGGAACUGCGUCCGAUACUGGUUGGCUUGAAUCCGGGAGAGGGACGUGGAAUUCCAGGUGUAGCGGUGAAAUGCGUAGAUAUCUGGAGGAACACCGGUGGCGAAGGCGGCAUCCUGGACCGGUAUUGACGCUGAUGCGCGAAAGCCAGGGGAGCAAACGGG
rnacentral:rRNA from 1 species